GUACGCUGGCGGCGUGCCUAAUACAUGCAAGUCGAGCGAACAGAUAAGGAGCUUGCUCCUUUGACGUUAGCGGCGGACGGGUGAGUAACACGUGGAUAACCUACCUAUAAGACUGGGAUAACUUCGGGAAACCGGAGCUAAUACCGGAUAACAUAUUGAACCGCAUGGUUCAAUAGUGAAAGGCGGCUUUGCUGUCACUUAUAGAUGGAUCCGCGCCGUAUUAGCUAGUUGGUAAGGUAACGGCUUACCAAGGCAACGAUACGUAGCCGACCUGAGAGGGUGAUCGGCCACACUGGAACUGAGACACGGUCCAGACUCCUACGGGAGGCAGCAGUAGGGAAUCUUCCGCAAUGGGCGAAAGCCUGACGGAGCAACGCCGCGUGAGUGAUGAAGGUCUUCGGAUCGUAAAACUCUGUUAUCAGGGAAGAACAAAUGUGUAAGUAACUGUGCACAUCUUGACGGUACCUGAUCAGAAAGCCACGGCUAACUACGUGCCAGCAGCCGCGGUAAUACGUAGGUGGCAAGCGUUAUCCGGAAUUAUUGGGCGUAAAGCGCGCGUAGGCGGUUUUUUAAGUCUGAUGUGAAAGCCCACGGCUCAACCGUGGAGGGUCAUUGGAAACUGGAAAACUUGAGUGCAGAAGAGGAAAGUGGAAUUCCAUGUGUAGCGGUGAAAUGCGCAGAGAUAUGGAGGAACACCAGUGGCGAAGGCGACUUUCUGGUCUGUAACUGACGCUGAUGUGCGAAAGCGUGGGGAUCAAACAGGAUUAGAUACCCUGGUAGUCCACGCCGUAAACGAUGAGUGCUAAGUGUUAGGGGGUUUCCGCCCCUUAGUGCUGCAGCUAACGCAUUAAGCACUCCGCCUGGGGAGUACGACCGCAAGGUUGAAACUCAAAGGAAUUGACGGGGACCCGCACAAGCGGUGGAGCAUGUGGUUUAAUUCGAAGCAACGCGAAGACCUUACCAAAUCUUGACAUCCUUUGACCGCUCUAGAGAUAGAGUCUUCCCCUUCGGGGGACAAAGUGACAGGUGGUGCAUGGUU
rnacentral:rRNA from 1 species